UACGUAGGGGGCAAGCGUUGUCCGGAUUUAUUGGGCGUAAAGAGCGUGUAGGCGGCCAUACAGGUCAGCUGUGAAAACUCGAGGCUCAACCUCGAGACGUCGGUUGAAACCGUUUGGCUAGAGUCCGGAAGAGGAGAGUGGGAAUUCCCGGUGUAGCGGUGAAAUGCGCAGAUAUCGGGAAGAACACCUGUGGCGAAGGCGGCCCCCUGGGCCGGCCCUGACACUGAGACGCGAAGGCGUGGGGAGCCGAACGGG
rnacentral:rRNA from 1 species